UACGGAGGGUGCAAGCGUUAUCCGGAUUCACUGGGUUUAAAGGGUGCGUAGGUGGGCUAGUAAGUCCGUGGUGAAAUCUCUGAGCUUAACUCGGAAACUGCCGUGGAUACUAUUAGUCUUGAAUCUCGUGGAGGUAAGCGGAAUAUGUCAUGUAGCGGUGAAAUGCUUAGAUAUGACAUAGAACACCGAUAGCGAAGGCAGCUUGCUAGACGAGUAUUGACACUGAGGCACGAAAGCGUGGGGAUCAAACAGG
rnacentral:rRNA from 1 species